AACGAACGCUGGCGGCAGGCUUAACACAUGCAAGUCGAACGCCCCGCAAGGGGAGUGGCAGACGGGUGAGUAACACGUGGGAACGUGCCCUAAGGUUUGGAAUAUUCCCGGGAAACUGGGAGCAAUACCAAAUGUGUCCGCAAGGAGAAAGAUUUAUCGCCUUAGGAUCGGCCCGCGUCAGAUUAGGUAGUUGGUGGGGUAAUGGCCUACCAAGCCGACGAUCUGUAGCUGGUCUGAGAGGACGACCAGCCACACUGGGACUGAGACACGGCCCAGACUCCUACGGGAGGCAGCAGUGGGGAAUCUUGGACAAUGGGCGAAAGCCUGAUCCAGCCACGCCGCGUGGAUGAUGAAGGCCCUAGGGUUGUAAAAUCCUUUCGUUGGGGACGAUAAUGACGGUACCCAAAGAAGAAGCUCCGGCUAACUUCGUGCCAGCCGCCGCGGUAA
rnacentral:rRNA from 1 species